UAUUGCACAAUGGGGGAAACCCUGAUGCAGCGACGCCGCGUGAGCGAUGAAGUAUUUCGGUANGUAAAGCUCUAUCAGCAGGGAANNACNNNANGGUACCUGACUAAGAAGCCCCGGCUAACUACGUGCCNNNANCCGCGGUAAUACGUAGGGGGCAAGCGUUAUCCGGAUUUACUGGGUGUAAAGGGAGCGUAGAUGGCGGUGCAAGCCAGAUGUGAAAGCCCGGGGCUCAACCCCGGGACUGCAUUUGGAACUGUGCUGCUAGAGUGUCGGAGAGGCAGGCGGAAUUCCUAGUGUAGUGGUGAAAUGCGUAGAUAUUAGGAGGAACACCAGUGGCGAAGGCGGCCUGCUGGACGAUGACUGACGUUGAGGCUCGAAAGCGUGGGGAGCAAACAGG
rnacentral:rRNA from 1 species